rnacentral:rRNA from 1 species
UACGGAGGAUGCAAGCGUUAUCCGGAAUGAUUGGGCGUAAAGCGUCCGCAGGUGGCAAUGUAAGUCUGCUGUCAAAGCGUCUGGCUCAACCAGAUAAAGGCAGUGGAAACUACAUAGCUAGAGUAAGGUAGGGGUAGAGGGAAUUCCUGGUGUAGCGGUGAAAUGCGCAGAUAUCAGGAGGAACACCGGUGGCGAAGGCGGAUCUCUGGGCCUUGCCUGACGCUGAGGCGCGAAAGCUAGGGGAGCGAACAGG